UGGGCAGUAUCAUUAGAACUGCACCUUUCAUUCCAGGAAUUUAAAUGGUACUGCCUGUAUCCGUUAUGGACCGGGACAGAGGG
rfam:Desulfosporosinus youngiae DSM 17734 chromosome, whole genome shotgun sequence.